CUGCUGCACAAGAUCGAGUCUGAGAGGAUCAAACCAAUCCCGUACUGCUACGGCAGCCGGGGCCCACCCGCGGCAGACGAGCUGAUGAAGAGAGUCGGGUUCCAGUACGAGGGCACCUACCGCUGGGUGAAUCCGCACAAGCUCUGAGCCAGGGGCCAGCUGCUGCCUCCCCAGAGCAACCCUGCUUCUCGCCCUGGGGGGUCUAUCUGCUCCGCUCGCUGCUCCCCCUCCUCCAGGGGCACCUGGGGUGGGGACGUGUGGCUGGGGGCCGAGAGGGAAGGGGAGAGUUGGGUAUGGGUGGCCAGCAGAGACAGGCAGGGUUGGGGGAGCUGGGGACGGGGUGGGGGGGACUGGCAGAGAAGGGCAGGGAUGGGAGAGCUGGGUAGGGUGGGGGAGGCUGGCAGAGAAGGCCAGGGAGGGUGGAGCUGGGCACUGGGGAUAUGUCCUGGACAACCAAAUGGGUUGCGAUUUCUGUGGCCCCCCACCCCCCUCCAGUGGGCCCAGGUCCUAGUUCACCCAGGUCUCCUACAGCCCCCACCCAGACACUAACCCCCCACCCAUCUCAUCUACACCUUCCUCCAAUACCCUACAGCUCCCUGGGUCUGGAUUCCCUGCCCCCUCCAGAUGCACUCCAGCCAGGUCCCUACCCCGCACUGGGCCUAGAUCCCCUUCUCCACCCACAUCCUGGGACCACAACUGGGCCGGGCACGGCCUGUCGUGUUUACAGCCCAUCUCGCUCCCCGCCCCUGCCCUAGGCUCUGGCCCCACACUGGGUUGAGGGAGCUGAGAGCCUCUGGCUUCGGUGGGGCCGACUGCCGCCACCUCGCCCUGGACUCUGCUUGCUUUGCUGCUGAGACAUUCCAGCCCCGCCACAGCCCUGGGGCUUUUGUAAAUGGCGCCGUUUUGUAAACAGAGAUUGUUGGAAUCA